CGCCUCUUGCCUAAAUAUAAGAGGUCCAGCCUGCCCAGUGACAUAGUUUAACGGCCGCGGUAACCUAACCGUGCAAAGGUAGCAUAAUCACUUGUUCUCUAAAUAGGGACUUGUAUCAACGGCACCACGAAGAUUAUACUGUCUCCUUUUUCUAAUCAGUGAAACUGAUCUCCCCGUGAAGAAGCGGGGAUCUUGAUAUUAGACGAGAAGACCCCAUGGAGCUUAAAACUCGUCACUCACCUCUUUACUAUACAUCUACAAAGUUAAGAAUUCUUGCGUGUCAGUUUUUGGUUGGGGUGACCUCGGAGUAUAAUAAAACCUCCGUAAUAAACGGACUAAUAUCCUUAUCCACGAGAAACGGCUCUAAGAAUUAAUAUAUUAAUAUUUAUGACCCAACAAUUUGAUAAAUGAACCAAGUUACCCUGGGGAUAACAGCGCAAUCUACUUUUAGAGCCCCUAUCGACAAGUAGGUUUACGACCUCGAUGUUGGAUCAGGGUCUCCUAGUGGUGCAACCGCUACUAAUGGUUCGUUUGUUCAACGAUUAAAACCCU
rnacentral:rRNA from 1 species